CAAUAGCGUAUACUAAUGUUGUUGCAGUUAAAAAGCUCGUAGUUGAACUUCUGGUAGGAGUGUCCCGGCCUUUUUGUUUUUACAAAUUGUAUGCUGUGUGACAUCUCUGGCCAUCCUUCUUCUUUGUUUAAAGAAGAUCUUUCACUGUAAAAAAAUUAGGGUGUUCAAAGCAAAAGUUUCUUUGGAAUAUAUUAGUAUGGGAUGAUAAGAUAGGCUCUAGAUGCUAUUUUGUUGGUUUGCACAUUUAGAGAAUGAUUAACAGGGACAGCUGGGGGUAUUCGUAUUUACAUGUCAGAGGUGAAAUUCUUGGAUUUUGGAAAGACGAACUACUGCGAAAGCAUUUACCAAGGAUGUUUUCAUUAA
rnacentral:rRNA from 1 species